GGAAAGACCAUAAUUAAAGAUUGGAGCAAUUGUGUUUAUCUUCCCAAGGUAUGUGCUCAGACCUGCAAGUGAUGGUUAGGUUAAAGUAUAUCUUCUUAAUGGUUCUUUUGAAAAAUUGCAAAUGCAGGUGCAAGAUUAAAAAGGAUCACCUAUGUGAGCAUGAAGUUUUGCCGCUUCAAGAAGCUUGGACUUGGCUUCCUAUAUGCUUAUUAAUGGAUAAGGACACAUGG
rnacentral:lncRNA from 1 species